AUUUUCAGCUGAAAUAGCCUCCUGCUUUGCCAAUAGGACUCUGACAUUUUUUUUCCUCUUGGGAAACAACCCAACUUAUUUAAGAGAUUGAUUUCCUCCCCAACUCUGAGCAAGACUCCCAAACAAUGUAAUCUCUGCUUGUUACUUAGAAGCACGAAAUCAAGUAUCCCAAAUACCUGGCCUUUCUGGCUUUGUUUCUGAGGCCGUUCGAAGGGGAAACUGCAAUGUGGAGCUUUGCUCAGAUCGGGGGUUAACAUCGUAUUUCGACUCAGCUGGUGGAAAUGAAACUCAAGAAGUGGGCCGUGUACAAGUUCUUAAACUCUCCCUCGGGCUUGCUGUCUCUUGAGUAGCAGCUGUGGAUAAGGCACCGAUAGAUUUGGGUCCUGUAUACUGUCCUGAACUUCUGGGUUUGUUUGAUUACUUCUUUCACUUACAAUGGGGAACACGAUUUCUUAAUCAUUAAGAAGCCAGCAAACAACCACAGUGUAUCUGCCUGGGUGAUAAGGGCUGAAGACCUAAGGAACACAAGAUUCCCAAGGAUGCUGUGGCUGCUGAGGUUCAGGACAUCACAAUGAAGAUGGAGUCCUAUUCAGAUUGCUCCCGAUUAUGUGCACCCUGACUGCACUAGAAUAAUGAUGUCAGUGUUUUUCAGGAAAGAAGUGAAAACGGUAUCAGGAUCCACUCCAGGGACUGUUUAUGCAAACGACCGGGAAGACAGGGAGGGUGACAGGUGAGACGUGUCCCCGGAUUCUGACUCUCGGCUGUUGCAAAGGUGAGAGAUGCUGUAGAUGGUGUGCAGGUUCACAACCUGGCAAGACAACUCGGAGAUCUACUUCUGGCUCAUCCCUGCCAACCUCGUUUGGAUUUGAGAGACCUUCUUUGCACCUGCCUGGGAUCUCACUUAGUAUUUUGCAGGACAUUCAACUCUCCUGAGAGCAGAGCUUCUAACAGCUUUUCUGCCAUUGCACAGUUUACAAUGACUUUGACUUCUGAAUGGGACUCCUGCCUCUCCUCACCAGAUGCUCCGAUUUUGGCUCCAUUUUGGUUGAGAUAAUCGUUUGAUAUUGGGGUUAUGCUGUGCAUGGUAAGAUGGCGAGGGGCAUCCCUGAUCACUACCCCUAAAUACCAGGGGCACUUCCUGCCCAAUCUAUCAUAACCAAAACUGUCUGCAGAUAUCACUAUAGGGCUACAGGAGGAUAAAGAUCAGGGCUCAUGGAGAACCACCGAAUCAUCCUAAGGUUCUCAGAAGAGACAAUUUUAAUUGACUUCAUAGAAGUCACAAUUUCUUGAUGGUUGGGAGUGGAAAGAGCCUUUGGCAUAUCCCUCUAUCUGACGCAGGGGCUCAGGGCUGACGGGGUGGGAAGCCCUGCUCUGUAGAGAGCGGGAUGUGUACAAUGUGAAAUCAGUUCCCACCUACGACAGUAAAGAUCCUGAUCACAAUGAACAAACGUGCUCUUGGGGACAGCAUUUCCUCCCUGAAUUCACGUCUGUGACCGCCACCCAGGUGUUCCCAGAUAUGUCACUGUCAGGUCUGACUCAAAGACAACCAAAGAUAAGGAAAGGAGGACCUCAUGAAUAGCCUCCUCCCACUUAGGGCUGG